UCACGUUUUCAUUUCCCGACUGUUUCUCUCUCUUUCUUUGCGAGAGAUGGCGAUGACAAUCGAUUGUCUCCGACGAUUGAGGUCCAAUGCCACGAGUGCCAAACCUAAGGAAGAUAGUUUCGCUGAUAUGAUCGAUCGGGCACUUGAGAAAGAGUUUCCUGAUAAUGACCAGAACGAAGUUCCUGAUCCAGGAAGCUUCAAUGAUAGUGUUGCUGAUUAACAGGCUGUUCUAGAGACUGUUGCUCGAGUUAAGCCUAAGAAAAAUGAAACCAAGACCAAGGAGGAGAAAUCGUUCUUCAAUUUGGAUAAUGAGAAUGGCGUAGAAGAUACUCCGAGACUGAUAGAUAGGAAGUCCAAAAUCCAAUGACCCUGUACUGCAGCUAGAUUUAAGGUUGAUAUCAGAUUUGGUCGUCGUCAUUGUUUCUGCUACUUGUGGUGGAAUUGCCUUUGCAUGUGCUGGUCAACCGGUCAUUACUGGGUAUCUAUUGGCUGGAUCUAUCAUUGGACCGGGCGGGUUAAGCUUUGUUAGUGAAAUGGUGCAGGUUGAAACAGUAGCUCAGUUUGGUGUUAUCUUUCUCCUUUUUGCUUUAGGAUUAGAA